GCCUCAGUGGCUUAGUUGGCAGAGCGGCUGACUUGUAAUCAGCAGGUCCCGUGUUCAAAUCACGGCUGAGGCU
rfam:Methanoculleus sp. SDB scaffold-1324, whole genome shotgun sequence.